rnacentral:rRNA from 1 species
GAUCAUGGCUCAGAAUGAACGCUGGCGGCAUGCCUAACACAUGCAAGUCGAACGAAGGCUUCGGCCUUAGUGGCGCACGGGUGCGUAACGCGUGGGAAUCUGCCCUUGGUUCGGAAUAACAGUUAGAAAUGACUGCUAAUACCGGAUGAUGACGUAAGUCCAAAGAUUUAUCGCCGAGGGAUGAGCCCGCGUAGGAUUAGCUAGUUGGUGUGGUAAGAGCGCACCAAGGCGACGAUCCUUAGCUGGUCUGAGAGGAUGAUCAGCCACACUGGGACUGAGACACGGCCCAGACUCCUACGGGAGGCAGCAGUGGGGAAUAUUGGACAAUGGGCGAAAGCCUGAAUCCAGCAAUGCCGCGUGAGUGAUGAAGGCCUUAGGGUUGUAAAGCUCUUUUACCCGGGAUGAUAAUGACAGUACCGGGAGAAUAAGCCCCGGCUAACUCCGUGCCAGCCGCCGC